rnacentral:piRNA from 1 species
UGGAAAUGAAAUAACUGACUUUUGA